UACGUAGGGGGCAAGCGUUGUCCGGAUUUAUUGGGCGUAAAGAGCGUGUAGGCGGCUUGGUAGGUCCGCUGUGAAAACUCGAGGCUCAACCUCGAGAUGUCGGCGGAAACCACUUGGCUAGAGUCCGGAAGAGGAGAGUGGAAUUCCUGGUGUAGCGGUGAAAUGCGCAGAUAUCAGGAAGAACACCUAUGGCGAAGGCAGCUCUCUGGGGCGGUACUGACGCUGAGGAACGAAAGCCAGGGGAGCGAACGGG
rnacentral:rRNA from 1 species